rnacentral:rRNA from 1 species
UACGUAGGGUGCGAGCGUUAAUCGGAAUUACUGGGCGUAAAGCGUGCGCAGGCGGUUUUGUAAGCCAGAUGUGAAAUCCCCGGGCUUAACCUGGGAAUGGCAUUUGGGACUGCAAGGCUCGAGUGCGGCAGAGGAGACUGGAAUUCCUGGUGUAGCAGUGAAAUGCGUAGAUAUCAGGAGGAAUACCAGUGGCGAAGGCGGCUUCCUGGCCUGUUCUUGACGCUGAGGCGCGAAAGCUAGGGUAGCAAACGGG